CCCUUAGAUGUUCUGGGCCGCACGCGCGCUACACUGAUGCAUUCAACGAGUCUAAAACCUGGUCUGAUAGGGCUGGGUAAUCUUUUGAAUGUGCAUCGUGAUUGGGAUAGAUGAUUGCAAUUCUUCAUCUUCAACGAGGAAUGCCUAGUAAACGCAAGUCAUCAGCUUGCAUUGACUACGUCCCUGCCCUUUGUACACACCGCCCGUCGCUCCUACCGAUUGAAUGUUCCGAUGAAUACCAUGGACUGAGAGUAUGAAUGGGUUCGCCUAUUUCUGCUUCUCGGGAAGUGGAGUAAAUCUUAACAUUUAGAGGAAGGAGAAGUCGUAACA
rnacentral:rRNA from 1 species